UGGGGAAUAUUGCGCAAUGGACGAAAGUCUGACGCAGCGACGCCGCGUGAGUGAUGAAGGCCUUAGGGUCGUAAAGCUCUGUUGAAUGGGAAGAAAAAAUGACGGUACCAUUCGAGGAAGGACCGGCUAACUUCGUGCCAGCAGCCGCGGUAAUACGAGGGGUCCUAGCGUUGUUCGGAAUCAUUGGGCGUAAAGGGUGUGUAGGUGGCUAAGUAAGUCAGGUGUGAAAGCCCCGGGCUCAACCCGGGAAGUGCAUCUGAUACUGCGUAGCUUGAGUACCGAAGAGGAUAGUGGAAUUCCAGGUGUAGUGGUGAAAUACGUAGAUAUCUGGAGGAACACCGGUGGCGAAGGCGGCUAUCUGGUCGAGUACUGACACUGAGACACGAAAGCAUGGGGAUCAAACAGGAUUAGAUACCCUUGUAGUCCCUGAGCGGGCUGGCAAGGCGCAU
rnacentral:rRNA from 1 species